rnacentral:lncRNA from 1 species
GAGUUUAACUAUAUACCUUCUCUUUCUCCACUUGUUUUAAUUCUUUGUCUGUGGUCAGAUAGAAGACUUCUACACCAAGAACAAUUUUUUUUCCUUCAGAGACAUAAAAAGUUUAUGAAGAUCAUAAAGUGGGAGAAAUUGUGGAAACUCGAAUCAAGAUUAUUGUAGGCCCACUCAUUGGGGAGCCCUUGUUCUGUGAUAUCAUCACUGUUCUGCACCUAACAUCUCUUAGAAGACACAUAAGAAUCAUGGGAGAACAUAAUCAGACAGAAUCGUCAGUGAAGCAAGUGUCGAGCCUAAAUAUUAUGUUCUCCAGCUUCCUAUGAGCUUCCCAUCAGUACCACGACUCUAUCUCCAUAAUACAAGCCUGCACAUGAGAUUUUACUAUAUGUGAUUAAAUAACACAAUAUUUUAAAGAAAUAUUGACUGGAUAGCAAUUUUCUAC